UUUUCUAAAGUUUUAUAGGAAUAUUAUAGGUCUCUGAUUCUUUGUACAAAAUUUACAAAAUUCCACAAGUGAGAGUAUGAUUUAAGGAUGGAACUGUGAGUAUUAUUCCUUGCAUAACAUGCUCCUAAUAUAUUUAUUCCACAAUCUGACGUUUAUUCCCUUAUACCCAAAGGGGCGCUGAUAAAUCUUUAGUCUCCAAUUGCCAGCUUCGAAAGCUGUCCUAAUGGACAUUGAACAAGUGAAAAUAGUUGAUGGAGUAGCAAAGUUCCACGAAAUAGCUGGAGCACUGUGCUACAAAGUACUUCCGGCACCCAACAUAAUCUCUCCAAAGUACUGUCCGAAGACCCUAAUACUUUUUAUCUGUUUUUCAAAUUGAAACAAAUGGUUGACCUUUGAUAAGUCUCAUGACGUAUAAGGCCAACCAAUUUGGAGAACCAAUUAUGUUGAAAAAUAAAU
rnacentral:lncRNA from 1 species